UGGGAGCAUCCCAAAAAUAAAAGAGAAGCAGGCAGUGGUCUGUUGCCAUAAUGAGAUUGAAACUUCCUUCCCGGAAGGACGGCGCAAGAAACAUCUCCUACAUCUUCUGAACAAUUUCCAGAUGGAGGAUGCUGUGUUAUGGUCGGCCAAAGUAGGUCUACAAGCAAGGCUAAACCUGUCACUUCUUCCACAACAAAUGGAAAUUGAAAAUAGGGGAGGAGCCAUGGAGAGUAAAGAUUUUAUAAACUAAUGGAAGUGACUGGAAGAGGAAUGGAGUCCCAUAAAGAAAGCAGCACUUCUGAACUAGAUAGACAUUUCCAUAUUGAGCCCUUAAAUAAGUAAUUUUGAAAUCAAAUUUUCAUGGAUUAUGACAUUUGGACUCUCCUCAAAAUGGAAAAGGAUACAAAAAAGAAGAGGAAGGACAUUCCAGGAUAUCUAAAUAUUGCCUUUUGCCAUCAUGUUCAUAAGAGCUUCUGAAGGGGGAGGUGCCGGCAGAAUGGGUGUAUGAAGAUAACCCAGAACAAAGUGGCCAACAGACAGAGAUUGUUACUCACUCAUUUCAGUAAUGCAAGGCUGAUCUGAUUUCUGGGAAAUGACUGUGAACCUUGGUUCCUCAAUUUCUGCCUGCUCACUGCUCCACCAGAGUUUUGUGUUCGCCGUGCCGUCCUCAGCAUCCUGCCUGCUGGACCAUUACUCAGAAGAAAAG